ensembl:lncRNA
GAGGUCAUGUGAUGUAAUUACACAGGCCGAUGCUGCAGGGAUGUAAUGAGGUGAUGUAAUUACACAGGCCGAUGCUGCAGGGAUGUAGAGGUCAUGUGAUGUAAUUACACAGGCCGAUGCUGCAGGGAUGUAAUGAGGUGGUGUAAUUACACAGGCCGAUGCUGCAGGGAUGUAGAGGUCAUGUGAUGUAAUUACACAGGCCGAUGCUGCAGGGAUGUAGAGGUCAUUUGAAGCAGCCUUUCUUCCAUCGCGUGUUUGGAACAAUGACAAAGACAUCGGCAACUUUGUAUUCUGUCGUCAACUCCGCUCUGAAGUGACCUGGCGGGCACCGUCAGGCAGAGAUCAACAUCUUGAUGUAUGUUCAGUGAGAUCUGAGUUUACAGUGUACAACAUCUAGCACUUAGCUGACAUUUGUUUGUUUUUUUAACAAGCUUUUUCAAGUACAACAUUAAUAUAAUGAUGGUUUUGGGAAACAUUGAAGGAGAUUUAAUGAUGCUCCUAACGAAGGUUUUAAAGAGGAAUUUAUUAGUCUUACGAUGCUUCUGAGAAAUCAGUCUCUCUGGGUCUCCUGUUCUCUCACCCAGAGGAUUAUGGUUGUAUCCUAAAUGGCACGUCUCUCUCCCUCCCUGCUAGAGGCACCUCUCUCCCUCCCUGC